AUUGAACGCUGGCGGAAUGCUUUACACAUGCAAGUCGAGCGGCAGCGCGGGGCAACCUGGCGGCGAGCGGCGAACGGGUGAGUAAUGCAUCGGAACGUACCCAGUCGUGGGGGAUAACUGUCCGAAAGGACAGCUAAUACCGCAUACGUCCUGAGGGAGAAAGCGGGGGAUCGCAAGACCUCGCGCGAUUGGAGCGGCCGAUGCCGGAUUAGCUAGUUGGUAGGGUAAAGGCCUACCAAGGCGACGAUCCGUAGCUGGUCUGAGAGGACGACCAGCCACACUGGAACUGAGACACGGUCCAGACUCCUACGGGAGGCAGCAGUGGGGAAUUUUGGACAAUGGGGGCAACCCUGAUCCAGCCAUUCCGCGUGAGUGAAGAAGGCCUCGGUUG
rnacentral:rRNA from 1 species